CGGGCCGCCCCCAGGUGGUAAGGGGGAAGCUAUUCCAUCACACCUUGUGACACAGCAAAAAUUCCCCAAACUUCUGAAUUAAUGGCGGACUGAAAUCCCUGCUUGGGAAAAAGCUUUCCAGAGGAACGAGGAUUAACUUUGUAAAAUGGACAGAUUUCACUCUAUCACUGGCUUGUCAGGACAAAACAGUCGAGCCCAACUGGUUUAGAGGUGAAAAUCAUCACUCCUUAAUCAGUCAACAAUCAUCAAUCAGAAGACACACCUCCUCCUGUUUCCUACCCAAUCACAGUUCCUUUCCCUUGGUUUAAAAACCCCAUCAGUUGUUUGCUCUAGAGCUCAAUCUUUCUGUAAAUGACAUGUCUGUAGGUCACUCUUGUUGUGUAUUAACCUCGCUUUUGUUUGAGCACCUUCAUAGCACUUUGUCAUCACCUGUGAGUAUUGUUUUGGUUAUGGUGUUUGAUUGCUGGUGGGAAAAGGGGAAACCAAGACAAGUCGCCCAUGGGCAUACACUACCCGUAGGUAAACUUUUAAAUACACUAGUUAGAACUGGGCGGACCACCCACUGUAUUUUUGGUUAGUUAGUUGUUAAAGUAGGCUAGUCUAGCUUAGGGGUGUUUUUGAAUACUUAUUGUUCCUUUCCCUGGGUCCAGCUCAGCCCCUUUCCCUGCUCCCCCCA